AGAGGUUAGCCUUUGUGUGCAUUGCCUUCCAUCUGCCCAUUGCAGCACACUAUGCCCAUGAAGACAUCCAGUAGUGACUUGUUGCAGUUGGGGUUAAUGAGAAGAAUUGUCCCUGUUUGCUUCCCCAAGGAAUCAGAAUGGAAAUAAAGAAAGGAAUCCAGGAUGUGCCAGAUUCUUGCCUCCAAUUGUGACAGUAAACGGAAGCUUCUCAGCAGAUCUCUGUUGGGACUUGGCAUAUGGGUCACCUCCACCUGAGCUAGAAUCCCCCGGAAAUCACUAAGAUUUCGGGUCACAAGUUUUCAGGUCAAUGCAGCCGAGGGGAUGAAGCUCUCUCAGUCCAGCUCACCUCCAGGGCCUCCCCCCUCACAGACAGGAGGUCCUUAAAGAUUUACAGCUGAGGGCACUGGAACCUCAAGAGGAUAAAUGACUUGCUCCGUGUAUAUAAGUUUUCAAAAACAAAAGGAACUAAUUGACAGUGUUAGAAGAACGGGUCAUCUCUGGGGAUAAGGGGUGAGUAGUGAUUGGGAAGAGCACAGGGAGCCGACUACUUGCUGCUGGCACCCUGAAGAAACAGACUGGAGGCGGAUAGCUCUGUGAACUUUCCAAGGCUAGAGGAACUACUGGAGCAUGACGAUGCCUCCCCACUUUCUCUGCAGGUUAAUGAUGCCUGCCUUUCCAGUGACCUCAUUUAUAUGAGAGCAAAGGUGAUUAUAUGACCAAAAUUCAAUUCAGCAAUCUUGGAGAAUUCUGGUCUCUUACCACACAGUCUAUUCUUCUGUGGAAAAGUAAGUGAGGACCAUGGGAGCUGUGUUUCUGAUUACACAAACAGAUCUCUCUAAGUCAGGAUUUCAGCCUUUGUUCCAUUAAAACAAAAAGCCAAAAAGGAUUGGAUGGAUAUUAAAGACCUCACUGAGUUGACAUGUCAUAGACUACCCCACGAUUUCAACUUCUUUUUCAAGCCAGACAACAGCUCUCUGGCCUUUGAACUCUCCUUUUGAGCCAAAUGUCAAUGGCCAGACUCUCCAAUCCAGUACCCAGUCCCCAGCUUCAUGGGAUCAGGAAGCUAAGGUGGCAGCUGCAGGAGUAGCCAUAACAACCCCCGACCUCUCAAUCACAGCUCUGGUGACUUUGAAACAAGAGUUGUCCUUCCCUUCCCACCCCCUUCCUGCCCUCCCCAAGUUGGCAAUGCCAACUCUCUCAAUGAGUAUGCA